rnacentral:tRNA from 1 species
GCCUUCGUGGUAUAAUGGUCAGCACGCUCGGCGCGUAUUCGAGAGGUCAGUGGUUCGAGUCCCGGCGAAGGGA